rnacentral:rRNA from 1 species
CAUAUCAUUAAGCGGAGGAAAAGAAACUAACAAGGAUUCCCCCAGUAACGGCGAGUGAAGCGGGAAGAGCUCAAGCUUAAAAUCUCCAUACUUGUAUGGCGAAUUGUAGUCUAUUGAGGCUGUUGUCAGCAUCGCGAUUGGGGACAAGUCCCUUGGAAAAGGGCAGCAUGGAGGGUGAUACUCCCGUCUCUGCUCCAAUCUGCGGUGUGUACGAUACGCUUUCUUUGAGUCGAGUUGUUUGGGAAUACAGCUCAAAGUAGGUGGUAAAUUCCAUCUAAAGCUAAAUAUUGGUGCGAGACCGAUAGCGAACAAGUACCGUGAGGGAAAGAUGAAAAGAACUUUGAAAAGAGAGUUAAAGAGUACCUGAAACUGUUGAAAGGGAACCGUAUCGUUUCCAGUGUUGUAUCCUAUGCAUAUUUCAUUCGUGGAGUAAUUUACGGGUGCCCUGUGCAUGGGUGUGACGUCAGGGUCAGUUUGUAUGCUGCGGGAGAUGGUCAGUGAGGAGGUGCGUCACUUCGGUGAAAGUUAUAUCUCGCUGUCUAGUAGCCGUGGUUGAGACUGAGGUGCCUACAACAUGCCUUAAGGUUCUAUGUUGUCUCGUGUUGGUGACUGCUUUGAUAGCUUGCUAUGUCUGUGGUUUAUUAAUGCGAUUGAUGAUGUGGAUAACUUUUGCUGUUCGGGACUCUGG